rnacentral:tRNA from 1 species
GGGGUUGUAGCUCAGCGGUAGAGCACUCGCCUCCCAUGUGCGAAACCUUGGGUUCGAUCCUCAGCACCA